UUGGAGGGCAAGUCUGGUGCCAGCAGCCGCGGUAAUUCCAGCUCCAAUAGCGUAUAUUAAAGUUGUUGCAGUUAAAAAGCUCGUAGUUGAAUUUCGGGAUCAAUUUAUUGGUCGUGCCAACGGUACGCACUGGUACAAUUGGUUUCUCCCUUCUGACGAAGCAUGAUGUCAUUAAUUUGAUGUCGUGGGGAAUCAGGACUGUUACUUUGAAAAAAUUAGAGUGUUUAAAGCAGGCUUUGGCUUGAAUACAUUAGCAUGGAAUAAUGAAAUAGGACGUUUGAUCUUAUUUCGUUGGUUUCUAAGAUCGACGUAAUGAUUAAUAGGGAUAGUUGGGGGCAUUAGUAUUCAAUUGUCAGAGGUGAAAUUCUUGGAUUUAUUGAAGACUAACUUCUGCGAAAGCAUUUGCCAAGGAUGUUUUCAUUAAUCAAGAACGAAAGUUAGGGGAUCGAAGACGAUCAGAUACCGUCGUAGUCUUAACCAUAAACUAUGCCGACUAGGGAUCGGACGAUGUUAAUUUUUCCUGACUCGUUCGGCGCCUUACGGGAAAC
rnacentral:rRNA from 1 species